AGGAUUAGGUGAGCUGUGAUUGACAGCUGAUUUCACCUAUCAGAAAGGGGCAGUCCCUUUUUAAGAGCUGAUUGGCUGCUGCCCGGUAUGCGUCAUGUCCUGUUUCCCCCCAGGUGUUUGCAACGUUAGCGGCAGUGUGUCUGUCGUGCUGGUGCCCUUGUGCUGUUAGUGGUGUACGUGAUGGUGUAUCCUCAGUUGGCUAUUGGUUUUCCUGCUUUUGGUUAACCUGUACCAUAAAACGGUAAAUUGUCUGGGGUGAUACCAUUAUUCGGUAAGUGUCUAGCACAAAGUCUUAAUGUUUAUGUGUAUGAUGUUGUGUGUAGUGUUAAUAUUAUAUUUGUUUACUUUAGGAGUCUCCCUUUCGUUCUAUGCUGCGUCUCCCGUUGCGCUGUAUUUUGAUUCUCACGCUGCAGUGUUGCACCGCUGUUACCGACGUCAUUAUCUGUGCCAUUGCACACUGGACUGUGUAAGAAUUUUGAUUGAUCCUGACCAAAAGGUCAGCCCUUCCUGAGAAAACAGCAUGGAUGCCCGAGAGUGCAGUGUGUGUGUGCCCUGUAGGUGCCCGAGACAGCAGAACCUCAAAAGAGAACCUUUUGCAACACAACAAGUUUCCUACAGGACUCACGGCAGGAGACCAAGACCCCCAAAACACCUCUCCCGAGAAUCAGAACUUUGUAUUGUCAAACAUCACAUCUCCAUACAAAUGGUUGAUCUACAGACAGAUAGAUACCCUUGAUUGUCAAACAUCACAUCUCCAUACAAAUGGUAGAUCUGCAGACAGAUGUCUGAUCCCUCCUUUCAUUGUUAUUCAUGUUUGAUUUCAUUAAAAAGGUUUCAUCGCGACUGGUACACAGGUUUCAUUCCCAUAUCAAUAAAACAAAGGUUUAAUAGCUUACACCCACUACAAAUGUAUCCAGGAUGAGGUGCCUCCCACAGGUCUGUAAGAACCAAUCACUGCAAACUUCCAUUGGUAAAUAAUGUAUACAUAAUGUUUAUUCCGUCUGGGUAUUUAAGGAGAGCUGACAAACAUUUCAGGGAGUCUGUAGACAGAUUUCCCACACAAGCUCUGUGUGUAGUUUUCAUCUCCAGGUAACAUUUCAAACUUUCUCAUUUCGUACCAUUAAGGGUUUUGUAUGAUUGGUCAAUGUAUUACAUUGUUUUGAACUAUUUCAUACUAUUGAUAUUUCUUAUGAUUGAUUAAUAUACUAUAUUGGUUGCAUUGGCUUUUGAAUUAUUGUACCGUUACCUGGUUAAUAAAUUGUUACGUUUUGCAUUCA